rnacentral:rRNA from 1 species
GGCUCAGGAUGAACGCUGGCGGCGUGCCUAACACAUGCAAGUCGAGCGGAGUCAUAAAUUGAUUCUUCGGAUGAUUUUAUGACUUAGCGGCGGAUGGGUGAGUAACACGUGGGUAAUCUGCCCUGCACAGGGGGAUAACAGCUGGAAACGGCUGUUAAUACCGCAUAUGCACACGUUAUCGCAUGAUAGAGUGUGGAAAGAUUCAUCGGUGCAGGAUGAGCCCGCGUCGGAUUAACUUGUUGGCAGGGUAACGGCCUACCAAGGUGAUGAUCCGUAGCCGGCCUGAGAGGGCGACCGGCCACAUUGGGACUGAGACACGGCCCAAACUCCUACGGGAGGCAGCAGUGGGGAAUAUUGCACAAUGGGCGCAAGCCUGAAUGCAGCGACGCCGCGUGAAGGAAGACGUAUUUCGGUAUGUAAACUUCUAUCAGCGGGGAAGAAGAUGACGGUACCCGACUAAGAAGCCCCGGCUAACUACGUGCCAGCCGCAGC